rnacentral:rRNA from 1 species
CGCGGCCUAUCAGCUUGUUGGUGGGGUAACGGCUCACCAAGGCAUCGACGGGUAGCUGGUCUGAGAGGACGAUCAGCCACACUGGGACUGAGAUACGGCCCAGACUCCUACGGGAGGCAGCAGUGGGGAAUCUUGCGCAAUGGGCGAAAGCCUGACGCAGCAACGCCGCGUGGGGGAAGAAGGUUCUCGGAUCGUAAACCCCUUUCAGCAGGAACGAAGUUGAGGGUUCCUGCCCAAAAAGGGCCGGCCAACUACGUGCCAGCUACCGCGGUGAUACCUACGGCCCGAGCGUUGUCCGGAUUUAUUGGGCGUAAAUAGCUCGUAGGCGGUUCGAUAAGUCGGGUGUGAAAACUCCCGGUUCAACCCUGAGACGCCACUCCAUACUGUCGUGACUAGAGUCGGGUAGAGGAGCGUGGAAUUCCUGGUGUAGCGGUGAAAUGGGCACAUAUCAGGAGGAACACCGAUAGCAAAAGGAGCGCUCUGGGCCGGUACUGACGCUGAGGAGCGAAAGCGUGGGGAGCAAACAGGAUUAGAUACCCUGGUAGUCCACGCCGGAUACGUUGGGCACUAGGUGUGGGUCCCAUCCAACGGGAUCCGUGCCGUAGCUAACGCAUUAAGUGCCCCGCCUGGGGAGUACGG